rnacentral:rRNA from 1 species
UAAACUACGAUUAGAUACCCUAUUAUUAUGCCGUUAAACCCACCUGAGUAGUACCAGCUCAUGCUCUAAACUCAAAAAAUUUGGCAGCACCCCACCUCAUUAGAGGAACCUGCCCCGUAAUCGAUGACCCACGUACCUUUAUACCUUUUCUUAUAGCUUGUAUACCGCCGUUUGGAGUGAGCCCUAAGGCCCGCUCUUAAUUAAUUUAUUAAAUAAUUCAGGUCAAGGUGCAGCCUAUGAAAAGCGUGGAGGUGGGUUACAAUGAUUCACGCCGCCGGAACUUAAAUCUAAUAUUUAUGUAAAGAUGGAUUUAAAAGUAAAUUAGUUCAAAAUUGAUAGAGCGCUGAGGUGUGCACA